CACGGGCCGAGACCACAGCGACGGGAGCGUCUGCCUCUGCGGGGCCGAGAGGUAAGCGCCGCGGCCUGCCCUUUCCAGGCCAACUCGGAGCCCGUCUCGUGGCUCCGCCUGAUCGGGGGCUCCUGUCGCCCUCAGAUCGGUCGGAACGCCGUCGCGCUCCGGGACUACAAGCCUGUUGCUGGGCCCGGAGACUGCCGAAGGACCGCUGAGCACUGUCCACAGCGCCGGCGGGAUGAAGUUCACUGUGGUGGCGGCGGCGCUGCUG
rnacentral:other from 1 species